rnacentral:lncRNA from 1 species
CUACAGUAAUGUGGAAGGUUGAAUGCUGCAGCAGAUAGAAAAGCACUGCAGUCCAGUGUGCAUUUGUCCUAAUGAAAACAUCUUGAUCUCCAACAAAAAUAUAGAGAUAAAACAGGCUCUCAAAAAUGGAUAACGAAAAUAUGAUUUAAAAAUGUAUUUAAAAACAAUUAAAACAAAGCAUGACUCAUUUUGACAGUGGAAAAGUUGACAACUUUCAGAGCCUUGCUCUCCAUCUUGUUUCUAUUUAAGUUGACCAUUCAAGUAGGCAAUUCAAUGGUCAUACAAAAAGUGAGGGGAAAAUGGUCCAGAAAUCAGCUAAUAACACUAAAAUAACGACUGGUCUCAUUUCAAAAUGAUCAUGUUCUUUUUUUCAUAAACAUGACCAGGCAUCAAAAGGGAAUAGAAGGCCAAGGGAAUCUGCAAAUUCAACUAUUGCCUCUACACUUUUCCUGACAGCACACUUCCUGAAAAACCUCUACAUUGGAUUUCAAACAAUAUAAAAACAGGUAAGCACGUGGAACCAUUCACAUGUGGUACAAAAUGGAUAAGCGUUAUUCGACAUUCAACAUUUACUGACACCACGUUUGAACAUAUUUAGGCUAUACAGUAUACCACAAAAUAGGUAUAUAAUGUAACUAUAUUAUACUUGUAUCUACUUGUCUGAACUCAUCUGAGGUUGCAUUGCUGUUUAUCUUUCACCAGUCUAAACACAAAAGCUAAGGUGCUAGAAAAAAAUAGCACAUUCCAUGCAUUUUUUGAAAGAUGCCAUGCUAUUAAAAGGUUCUGCACUGUGGUUCAUUAGUAAAUAGAUAAAUUAAAAAAUACAUAUCCUGUCUUUCAUGUCUAUUCCUUUACCAUUUCCAUUCUUCUGCAGGUGUGGCAGAGAGCUUUUCUUCUUCCUUUGCCUACACUGUCUGGAAUGUUUUCCUCAUUGACACUAUUUUUGGUUCAUCCAAAAAGGACAGCCAUUCCCAAGUGUGAUUCUUCUUGCACAUGUCCAUGCCUUCAAUGGCAAUACUGACUGCAUUUGACUUAGCUUUUUGCAAUUGAUCUAAUAUUGCCAAAUCCUUCCUGAAUCGAUCAUUUUUCUUUGACAGGAGCUCUGGUUCGACUGGAAGCAUCAUAGAACAUACCUUCAGAAAACUGGCUAGGAUCAACUCAACAAUCUGAACAGUCAACUCAAAAAAGUCUGUGUCGGUCCACAUGGUAAGCCUGUCAAACACAAGGUUCUUGGGUACAUCAAUGUCAUCAAACAAGCAUGCAUUUCCUUUAACAAGGUCUCUCCCAUCUUCCUGCCAUUCCUUAAAUUUGGUAACAAGGGUUUGGUAUCUUUCUUCCAUCUCCAACACGUUUCCCUUCAAAGUUAAGGCUCUCCAGAGAGGAUCAAUGAUAAGCUUGGAAACCAGACCCAGAGCUCUGCAUCCGGCCUUGAACUGUUGAACCUCCAAAUCAGCAACAACUGCAGCAAGCAAACUACUCUCAGCUCCGUACGUACUGGUAAACUCAACCAAAUCAUCAUGGAUGCUACACACUCCAGCAGAAUUAUGAAACAGACCAUCAAUUCUGUGUCCAAUGGAUAGAGACAAAGGAACUUCUUCAAAUUCUUUUUUGCUGGUCAAAAAGCUUUCGAACGGAACAAGCUGACCG